ACGGCCACAUACCGUUGAAACAGCAAUUCCCAUACGAGCACCGAAGUUAAGUAACGUCGAGCCUGGUCAGUACCUAGAUGGGUGACCACUUUGAAAUACAAGGUGGUGUAA